UACGUAGGGUGCGAGCGUUGUCCGGAAUUAUUGGGCGUAAAGAGCUCGUAGGCGGCUUGUCGCGUCGGAUGUGAAAGCCCGGGGCUUAACUCCGGGUCUGCAUUCGAUACGGGCAGGCUAGAGUUCGGUAGGGGAGAUCGGAAUUCCUGGUGUAGCGGUGAAAUGCGCAGAUAUCAGGAGGAACACCGGUGGCGAAGGCGGAUCUCUGGGCCAUAACUGACGCUGAUGCACGAAAGCUAGGGGAGCAAACAGG
rnacentral:rRNA from 1 species